GAUGAAUGCUGGCGGCGUGGCUAAGGCAUGCAAGUCGAGCGAACACUAUUUUGUAGCAAUACAGAGUCGUGUUAGCGGCAAACGGGAGCGUAACACAUUGGCAACCUUCCCUUCACUCGCGAAUAACCACUGGAAACGGUGGCUAAUACGCGAUAUAAUUCCUCUUUCGCAUGAUUGAGAAAUGAAAGUUACGGCGGUGAAGGAGGGGCCUAUGGCCCAUCAGCUAGUUGGCGGUGUAAUGGACCACCAAGGCUAUGACGGGUACCAGGCGCGAGAGCGUGACCUGGCUCACUGGGACUGAGACACUGCCCAGACACCUACGGGUGGCUGCAGUCGCGAAUCUUCCACAAUGCACGAAAGUGUGAUGGAGCGACGCCGCGUGUCGGAAGAAGGCCUUCGGGUCGUAAACGACUUUUAUCAGGGACGAAUUUUGACGGUACCUGAAGAAUAAGGGGUUGCUAACUCUGUGCCAGCAGCAGCGGUAAUACAGAGACCCCGAGCAUUAUCCGGAUUUAUUGGGCGUAAAGCGUUCGUAGGCGGUUUCGUAAGUCAUUUGUUAAAUCUUCAGGCUUAACCUGGAGGCUGCGGGUGAUACUGCGAGGCUAGAGGACGGGAGAGGCAUAUGGAAUGCCCGGUGUAGCGGUAAAAUGCGUUAAUAUCGGGUAGAACACCAAAGGCGAAAGCAAUAUGCUGGAACGGUCCUGACGCUCAGUGAACGAAAGCGUGGGUAGCGAAAGGGAUUAGAUACCCCUGUAGUCCACGCUGUAAACUAUGAUAACUAGAUUUUGGGAGUAUCGACCCUCCCAGAGUCGACGAAACAAGCUAACGCGUUAAGUUAUCCGCCUGGGAAGUACGGUCGCAAGACUAAAACUCAAAGGAAUAGACGGGGACCCGCACAAGCGGUGGAUCAUGCGGUUUAAUUCGAUGCAACGCGAGAAACCUCACCUGGGCUUGAAAUAUAGCUGCUAAUCCCUAGAGAUAGGGGCUCCUUCGAGGGUGCUAUGUAGGUGCUGCAUGGUUGUCGUCAGCUCGUGCCGUGAGGUGUACCCUUAAGUGGACUAACGAGCGCAACCCCUGUCGUGUGUUGUACUUUCACACGAGACUGCUUCCGUAAGGGAGAGGAAGGAAGGGAUGACGUCAAAUCAGCAUGGCCCUUACGUCCAGGGCAACACGCAUGAUACAAUGGCCGGUACAGAGGGUUGCCAAACCGCGAGGUGGAGCUAAUCCCAUAAAACCGGCCCCAGUUCGGAUUGGAGUCUGCAAUUCGACUCCAUGAAGCCGGAAUCGCUAGUAAAGGCGGAUCAUCACGCCGCCUUGAAUACGUUCUCGGGUCU
rnacentral:rRNA from 1 species